CAGGAAGCAGCAAGAUAAUGCUUUCCUUCUAUUGGCAGAUAGUGAAGGAAUAACUGUACAUGGCAAAAUGGUGCUCCAGUCAUCUAAAUUGAUGGGCAUACCAGCAGACAUGCAAAUAGACCUAUGGACAGCAGAACCUAGAAAGAGAAAUUUUAGAGCAAGGCUCUGUUCUUUCUACCAAGGACUUCCCUGUCCUUCACUUGUUGGAUAAUUCUUCCUCUGCUAUGAUACAGAACAUACUGGCCAACAAUCUACAUUAUCAGCUCUAACCAAGGAUCCUAAUAAAAUUUUCCCUGUUGGGCAGGUAGAGCACAAGUCAUAAAUAUAGUUAAGGAUGGAUCCUAAUUAAGGGCCCUAUCCCAGCAGGUAUUGAGCUCUUCUUAGAAGAUCCUAGCUAUCCUGAACUCCUGCUAAAGCCAAUGGGAGAUAAUGGCACUCAGCACCACUUCCCAGGAUCAGACCAUCUGCCGUACAAUUUAUUGGGACCCUUCUCUAUCCUGGCCUCCACCCAGCGAUCAAAAAAUCCUUCAUAAAAAGGAGUUUGUACUA